UACGGAGGAUCCAAGCGUUAUCCGGAAUUACUGGGCGUAAAGAGUUGCGUAGGCGGUUUAUCAAGCAAGACAUGAAAUAGUGUGGCUCAACCAUACUGCUAUGUUUUGAACUGAUAGACUUGAGGAUGAGAGAGGUUAUUGGAAUUCCCAGUGUAGGAGUGAAAUCCGUAGAUAUUGGGAGGAACACCGAUGGCGUAGGCAGAUAACUGGCUCAUUCCUGACGCUCAGGCACGAAAGCGUGGGUAGCAAACGGG
rnacentral:rRNA from 1 species